CCGAGUGAGGGCCCUCUGGGUCCAACCUCCCACCCGUGUUUAUUUUACCUUGUUGCUUCGGCGGGCCCGCCUUAACUGGCCGCCGGGGGGCUUACGCCCCCGGGCCCGCGCCCGCCGAAGACACCCUCGAACUCUGUCCGAAGAUUGUAGUCUGAGUGAAAAUAUAAAUUAUUUAAAACUUUCAACAACGGAUCUCUUGGUUCCGGCAUCGAUGAAGAACGCAGCGAAAUGCGAUACGUAAUGUGAAUUGCAAAUUCAGUGAAUCAUCGAGUCUUUGAACGCACAUUGCGCCCCCUGGUAUUCCGGGGGGCAUGCCUGUCCGAGCGUCAUUGCUGCCCUCAAGCACGGCUUGUGUGUUGGGCCCCGUCCUCCGAUCCCGGGGGACGGGCCCGAAAGGCAGCGGCGGCACCGCGUCCGGUCCUCGAGCGUAUGGGGCUUUGUCACCCGCUCUGUAGGCCCGGCCGGCGCUUGCCGAUCAACCCAAAUUUUUAUCCAGGUUGACCUCGGAUCAGGUAGGGAUACCCGCUGAACUUAAGCAUAUCA
rnacentral:rRNA from 1 species